UCAAAGAAAUGUAAGAGCCUGCUUAAUCAGCGAUGGUUAAGUAAUCGUCAUCUAAUUGCGGGAAACCCCUGAGAGCCUUAUCUACUAACUCAACCCAGCGAUGGAGUUGAGGGCCAGUCUAAUCCACUGGGUACAGUAAAAAUGAUAAGGAUUGGGCAAUCCGCAGCGAAGCUUCUCUUUGAGAAGAACGUUCAACGACUAACCCCUAACCAGGGUGUAGAACUUAAGCGAGUUCGAAAUGGUGACCCUCUCACGCAGAGGAAGAUAUAGUCUGUUCCCAUGUGAAAGCAUGGG
rnacentral:ncRNA from 1 species